CUAGGCUCUGUAAUGUCACCUAAAGACGCGAGGUCUCUUCGACAAUAUACACGACUCCAGAACUCCAGAGUUAUAACGGACCUGAACCUGAACCCUGCCUGUGCACUGAAGGAGAAGGGUGGAGAAGAGGGAACAAGUCGGAGCCGCUGGAAGCCUGCACACAGUGGUGGAAAAAAAGGGCAACAACUCAGGAAACAUCUGGAUGUGUGAGCUGGACUGCAGUUAGUCAAAUACCAUCUGCUUCUUCAACUGUUUUCAGAAUGUUUUAUUGCAUUUCUA